AGGAGCCCGUAGCCGAGGCCUGCUGCCAGGAUCUGGGUGGUCAUGGCCACCCAGGUGACCACGCCGCUGUACUGCAGACUUAUAAAAGAAGUAGAACACACAUGCUUCCCAUUAGGUGAGAAAGAAACAUGCCUGAGAGUCUAAUGGAUUACUCAAGUCUGUGCUGCCAAGGAAGAACAGAAUCUUUAGGUCUUCUGUGCAAAGUUGUGUCCACCCCCAAAGUCUGAAGUGGCUCCAUUCACAAACUUACAUGGAAUUUGGACU
rnacentral:lncRNA from 1 species